UAGGGAAUCUUCGGCAAUGGACGAAAGUCUGACCGAGCAACGCCGCGUGAGCGAAGAAGGCCUUCGGGUCGUAAAGCUCUGUUGUUAGAGAAGAACAUGGGUGAGAGUAACUGUUCACCCCUUGACGGUAUCUAACCAGAAAGCCACGGCUAACUACGUGCCAGCAGCCGCGGUAAUACGUAGGUGGCAAGCGUUGUCCGGAAUUAUUGGGCGUAAAGCGCGCGCAGGCGGUCUCUUAAGUCUGAUGUGAAAGCCCCCGGCUCAACCGGGGAGGGUCAUUGGAAACUGGGAGACUUGAGGACAGAAGAGGAGAGUGGAAUUCCAAGUGUAGCGGUGAAAUGCGUAGAUAUUUGGAGGAACACCAGUGGCGAAGGCGGCUCUCUGGUCUGUUACUGACGCUGAGGCGCGAAAGCGUGGGGAGCAAACAGG
rnacentral:rRNA from 1 species